AUUUUAUUUAUUUAUUUAUUUUUUCUUUGGUAAAUGAUGCAGUUCUACCACUCUACAUUUUGGGCUUUUAUUUUGAAGAGCUCCGCUCUUAUUCUACUACCUCCUGUUAUUACUGACGCUAAACCUUCUGUUCGAGUUCUCACCAUAAUGCUGUGCACGUUGCUCCAGAAACGGUAAAAACAUGAGAACAAAUUAAUUAUUUAUUAUUUUCUGUGUUGACACUUUUGAAAGAUAUUUUAUUGUAGUUUGCUCCGUUUUUUUUUGUGUCAUUUGUAUGUCACGCAUAGACUGUCACUGAGAGGUGUGUGGAAGAUAGGCUGUUGGCAGACAAAGCUCAAACUUAGCGCCCUUGGAAGCAGAAGGAGGUAUGAAGAGACAAAUUGUGCAUUAAUUCAAAUGAGUGAUUUAUUUCAUUUAAGACAAAGAGAAAUGGUUAUUAUUAUUUUAUUUUCAGUAGGAACUGUAACUCAUAAUAACUUAAAAGGUUAAAUUCAUGUGGAAGUUUGCUAAGAAUUACUAAUUUAAAAGUUUAAAUACUGUUCUAUUCAUUAUCUGUGAAAUAUGGUACUAUGGCAUUUGUGUUUUGUAUCUGUUAUGUAGUUUUCACGGUGUCAAAACGUCUGUGGUGAGAAGAGGAGAGAAAUAAAGUUGCACCAGUAGAAGCUCCGAGCAUUGUCUUGUGAUUAAUCCAAGUGGGCCGCUACAGUGAAAACUCCUUUACUACAAGAGACCAUCAGAGAAGCUGACACCUCAUCUGAGAUCCAGCUACCCAACUGAUACCAGCCAGCUGAUUCCGCUCACACCAAUAUCCUGCACAGGCAAGAUUAAAAAGGGACAGCACACUUAAGGUACAAUUACGGAUUCUGAAAAGGACAUUGAGUGCUAAAGAGCAAAGAGAACUAUUUACAAAUUGUAUGUGUUUUCGUCUCAAAAAAAAAAAAAAAAAAAAACGCUGAAGCUAUUAAUGUUUACAAUGAUUGUUUAUGACACUUGUUACUGUUUCAUGCUAAAAUUCCUUUGAAUGUCCAUGAUUUGUAAAUGCUUGAUAUAGAUUUACUCUGUGGUAAAAGAUAACUACAGCUCAUAGGUGUGAAUUCAGGCAUAGGGUAAUCAAAGCCACGCUAGACGUGAAACAGUUGCACAAAGAUGUCACUCCCAACAGAAGUAACAGACAAGCCCAUAGACAUGCCACUCAGGUCUAGCUCACGAGAGAGAAAGCUAACAGAAAAAGGCCAAGAAAUGUAUGACCAAGAUACUAAAAAACGGGAAAAAACAUUUAACAAGGCCUAUGACUCUUGGAAGCUAGCAGCAAGGGAGAUUAGGACAAAAUUAAAAACCUUCUGCUUAUUAGAAGACCUCAAUAAACUGCACGAAGAUAUUCAAGCAAAGUAUGAUGCUGUUAAACUGCAGUAUGAACCUAUUCUACGUAACUGUAACACCACGCCAGAGAUUGUAAAAAAAAUGGACGCUUGUGUUGUGCUGACAAAGGAAAUUUGUGACCUCAUAAGCAACCGUCAAGAAGCUAUUGAUGAAGAUUAUAAUGAUCAACUUGAAAAAGAAAGAGUAAGAGAAAUGUUGAACAAAAAGGAAUAUGGGUCGGUCUUUGGCUUAACUAAAACUGAAACUGUAAGUUCAUCAGAGUCACCAGAGAAAUCAAGCAAACUCUCCAGCUCAACCAGUAUCCAUAACAGUAGAGUAGAUGCAGAAGCAGAGCUUGCUGCUAAGCUGGAACAGUCAAAGGCCAUGGAAGAAAUUCAAGCACAACGAGCACAUCUUCACAAGUUAGAAAGCGAAUGGAAACUCAAAGAGGCAAAAAUGUUGUCAGAAAUUAAACAAAGAAAAGUGGAAAUGCGACAACAGUUGGAACAAGAGAGAGCAAAACUGCAGCAGUUGCAAGCAACAAAAGAGGUCGCUAUAGCCGCAGCUCGUGUCAGAGCAUAUGACAGUUUUGAAGAAGAAAUUGACAGCAGAACUAGCUCAGCUCAUAACAGAACACAAACAGAGCCUCGGUUGAAUCCAGAUGCUGCCUCGUUCCGACCUCACCAAGCAGUGCCUGAGGUGACUAUGACACAAGAGUCGGCCAGCUUAGCACAAGCAAUUGCUAGUUCACUGAGUAUGAACCGCUUGCCAGUCCCUGAACCCACCACAUUUAGUGGUGACCCUUUAAGGUUUACAGAUUGGAAAAUGUCAUUCAUGACUCUGAUUGACAGAAAACCACUUCCAGCAAGUGAGAAAAUUUUUUAUCUUAAAAAUUAUCUUGCUGGAGAGGCCCGUAAAGCUGUUGAGGGUUUCUUUUAUAGAGAUUCAGAGGAUGCAUACAAUGGAGCAUGGAAAGUUUUACAAGACAGAUAUGGUAACCCUUUCAUCAUACAGAAAGCUUUCCGUGAUAAGCUCAUGAAAUGGCAGAAGAUCAGCACAAAUGACCCGCUAGCACUACGAGAGUUCGCCGACUUCCUCCAAAGCUGCACUGAGGCAAUGCCAUACGUCAAAGGAUUAGCUAUUCUUAACGACUGUGAGGAAAACCACAAGUUGCUCAGAAAACUGCCAGAAUGGAUUGUUCGAAAGUGGAGUCGAAUUGUUGUAGAUGAACUUGACACAUCUGGCAGCUAUCCAGAUCUUGCAUGCUUCACAGGGUUCCUUAGCAGAGAGGCACGGAUAGCUUGUAACCCUAUUGCUUCUCCACUGGUGAUAAAUUUCAAACCUGUAGAUGAUAGAAUUCCAAAGAGAGCCAAAGCUUUCAAUACAAGCAUACAACCAAACAGUUUUGUUAAAGAGAAACAAGAAACUAACAGUAGCAAACCAAAAUUGCUUUGCUCUGUCUGUAAAAGUGAAACUCAUGGCAUCACAAGGUGUCCCACUUUCACAGCAAAGAGUGUUGAAGAUAAAAGGGCAUUCAUUCAUGAAAAUCGGCUUUGCUUUGGAUGCUUAAGAAAGGGUCAUAUGACCAAGGACUGUAAGAGGCGACACACAUGCAACACCUGCAAUCGUCGUCACCCAACCUGCUUGCACGAAGACAGGAGCCAAAGACCUGUGGAAGCAAUAACGAACCGCUCCACUUCCACAGAAGAACGUGCAAGCCAGGAAACACACAAGGUCGUGUCCCAUACAUCAACACAACGCUCUUCUGCUACCUCAAGUAUCGUUCCAGUCUUUGUAUCAUCAGUACAAGAACCACACAGAGAAAUACUUACAUAUGCAAUACUUGACACACAGAGUGACUCAUCAUUUGUCCUAGAAGAUGUAGUUGAUAAGCUCAAUGUGGAUGUUCAGCCAGUAAAGCUGAAACUUAGUACCAUGACAGCCAUCGACACAAUCAUAUCAAGCAAGAGUGUUCAUGGUCUACAAGUUCGAGGACUCUACUCUGAGAGUUGUAUUCAACUACAGCAGGCCUACAGUCGUGACUUCAUCCCGGUGGAUAAGUCCUACAUUCCAACGAAAGAAACAGCAUUUCUGUGGCCUCAUCUCAGAAAUUUGGCAGACAAGUUGCCACCCCUUCAAGACUGUGAUGUAGGGCUCCUAAUAGGAUAUGACUGUCCUUCAGCCCUGGCUCCUCUUGAAGUUGUCUUAGGUGACAAAAAUCAACCAUUUGCACAGAGAUCAGAACUAGGAUGGAGUGUAAUAGGCUCGACAAACCCCCACCUAGACAGACAAGGAAGUCAAAGCUUUGUACAUCGGCUAACAGUAAAAGAACUGCCAAUGCCAUCUGCAACAGAUGUUCUAAAGACCUUGGAAUCAGACUUUAUUGAGAGAACCUAUGAGGAUAAAUAUGUGUCACACGAUGAUGUUCAUUUCAUACAGUUCCUUAGUGACCACAUCAGGCAGAAAGAAGACGGGCAUUAUGAGAUGCCCCUCCCUUUCAAAGGCAAAAGUCCACCCAACCUGCCAAAUAACAAGAGGUUAGCCACAGUUCGCCUACAGUGUCUUAAGAAAAAAUUAAAAGCCAACAAACAAUACUAUGAUCAGUACAAAACAUUCAUGGAGGAAACCAUUAACAAGGGUGAUGCAGAGCUUGUCCCUACAACAUCUGAGGGAAAGACGGAGUGGUACCUUCCGCAUCAUGGUAUCUACCACCCCAGAAAACCGGAUAAGCUGAGAGUUGUUUUUGAUUGUUCGGCCAAAUUCCGUGGCAUUUCUCUGAAUGACACCCUGCUAACUGGGCCUGAUCUAAUUAAUCCACUGAUAGGAGUGCUUUGUCGCUUCAGAAAAGAAGCUGUGGCCAUUAUCUGUGACAUUGAACGAAUGUUCUAUCAGUUCUCUGUCACGCCUGAAUCCAAGAAUUAUCUAAAGUUCCUCUGGUGGAAAGGUGGAGAUUUGGAGAAGGAACCACAGGAGUACAGGAUGACUGUCCACCUCUUCGGAGCUGCUUCGUCUCCAGGAUGUGCCAAUUUUGGUCUGAAGCAUUUAGCACGACAACACAAAGCUAACUAUCCUCUGGCAUCAGCGUUUGUGGAGAAAAAUUUUUAUGUUGACGACGGGUUAGUCAGCGUCUCCUCAGUUGAAGAAGCCAAGAAACUGAUAACUGAGGCCCAGGAGCUGUGCAAAAGAGGAGGCCUACGCCUUCACAAAUUCAACUCAAAUGAAGAAGCUGCUCUGUCAUGCUUAGACCCCUCUGAAAGAGCAGCAAACAUUGAGCCUCUGGGAUUCGAUCCAACACCAUCAGAAAGUGCUCUCGGCAUUCAGUGGUUGAUAAAGGAUGAUACUUUCAGCUUUAACAUCAGUUUGAAGGAUCAGCCCUCAACCCGUCGUGGGUGUUUGUCUGUCAUCGCCUCUCUUUAUGAUCCACUCGGAUUCAUUGCUCCUUUCAGCCUAAGUGGAAAACGUAUCCUUCAAGAGCUUUGUCACAGAGGCAUCGAAUGGGAUGACCCACUUCCAGAAGAUAUAAGGCCACGGUGGGAGGAAUGGAUAAAUGGUCUUGUCAAGCUAAAGGAGGUCUCAAUCCCGAGAUGUUAUCACCCACAUAACUUCCAUAACAUUGUCAGAGUAGAACUACACCAUUUUUCAGAUGCCAGCUGCAUUGGAUAUGGUGCAUGUUCUUAUCUCCGGUACAAAAAUGACAAAGAUGAAGUCCAUUGCAGUCUCGUGAUGGCAAAAGCAAGGGUUGCUCCCUCAAAGGUCACAAGUAUCCCGAGAUUGGAACUCGCAGCGGCGGUGGUUUCUACAAAAGUAAGCGUCGUGUUAAAGGGUGAGCUUGACAUGAAAAUUGAUCAGGAAUUCUUCUGGACUGAUUCGCAAGUUGUGCUCGGGUACAUCAACAAUGAUGCCCGUAGAUUCCACAUAUUUGUUGCAAACCGUGUUCAACUGAUCAGAGAUAAUAGUGAUCCUAAUCAAUGGCAUUAUGUGGACACCUCAGAAAACCCGGCGGAUCACGCAUCCCGAGGUCUUAAUGCUUCAGACAUUCACUCAACGAACUGGCUGCGAGGACCAAAAUUUCUCUGGGAGCGUGAAUUACAUCUAACACCCAGGAGUCCAGCAGACUUACUUGUUGGUGAUCCUGAAGUAAAGAAAAUCCAGGUUCUUGCAACCGAGACCAAUAGCUGCAAUGACAUCCUCCAGCGUCUGAGUCGGUUUUCUUCAUGGACAACACUCGUAAAGGUGGUUGCAAGAAUCAAGAGACUUGGGUCUAAACAAAAACAGCAUAGUGAACAUGUAACUGUCGAGGAGCGUGUGAAGGCUGCAGAGACUGUGAUUAAGAUUGCACAACAGCAAGCCUUUCCCCAGGAGAUAAAGAUACUUCAAGGUCAAAAGGAACUUCCAAGCUCAAGCUCUCUCUUCAAUCUUAAUCCCAUCUGGUCAGAAGGACUACUCUGUGUUGGUGGGAGAUUGAAACAGUCAUCUCUCUGUCACAAAGUCAAGCACCCAGUCAUUUUACCAAACAAUAGUCCUGUAACUAAACUCAUAGUGUCUCACUACCAUGCUAAGACAUGCCAUCAAGGUCGAAACCAGACACAAAUGGAGCUUAGGGCCAAUGGAUUCUGGGUCAUUGGUGGGAGCAAGCUGGUCAGUAAGCUGAUACACGCAUGUGUGCUUUGUAGGAAACUUCGACGGCCGACAGAGAACCAGCAAAUGGCUGAACUACCUAAAGAACGUCUUGAAGCCUCAGCACCUUUCACGUAUAGUGGCAUGGAUUGCUUUGGCCCAUUUAUUGUCAAGAAAGCCCGCAAAGAAUACGAAAGAUAUGGACUCAUUUUCACAUGCCUGUACUCUAGAGCUGUCCAUAUUGAGAUGCUCGAAGAUUUGUCGACAGACUCCUUCAUCAACGCAUUGAGAUGUUUCAUCAGUCUCAGAGGAGCUGUUAGACAACUUCGUUGCGACCACGGCUCCAAUUUCAUUGGUGCCAGAAAUGAAUUUAAGGAAGCCCUUAAACAGUGCGACACCAAACUACUGGAAAUCUUCAUGACUGAAAGGCAGUGCGAAUUUGUCUUUAAUUCCCCCUCUGCCAGUCACGCAGGUGGUGUCUGGGAACGGCAAAUUAGAACCAUUAGAAACGUGCUAAAUGCUACUUUUGCACAAUGCCCAGGUCGACUUGAUGACGCUUCUCUUAGAACACUGUUCUAUGAAGCCACGGCUAUCGUUAACAGCCGCCCAUUAACAGUAGAUGGAAUAAAUGAUCCUCAAGCUAUGGAACCUUUAACACCAAAUCACCUCAUCAUGAUGAAAUCGAAAGUUGCACUUCCUCCCCCUGGAGUAUUUGUUAAGGAGGAUUUGUAUGCCACAAAGAGAUGGAGGAGAGUUCAGUAUCUCAUUGAACAAUUUUGGGGUCGUUGGAAAAGGGAGUAUCUGCUCAACAUAUCCAUAAGACAAAAAUGGCACUUACCUCAACGCAAUCUCAAAGUCAAUGACAUUGUCAUUAUUAAAGAUGACAACCGCCCAAGAAAUCAUUGGCAACUAGGACGGGUAGUGGAAACUGUUCAAGAAAGUGACGGCUUGGUACGCCGAGUCAAAGUCCAAGUAGGAGAACGAAAGCCUCACAGAAAACAAGAUCCUCACUCUAAACCUUCAGUUAUUGAGAGGCCUAUACAAAAAUUAGUACUUCUCCUUGAGAAUUAAUUGAAGCAGACACUGCUUGAUUGAUUGUGAUAUACAGUUCACCUGUAUACUUCUGAUCACUUCUGUCAUUUAUUAGAGUCAAGAAAUCCUGUACAAUUCAUCUAGUUUUGUUUAUGUAUUAUUUUAUUCAUUGUAGCAGGAUUUGGUGGGAGUGUAAAUGACAGCUGAAUAUUUUAUUUAUUUAUUUAUUUUUUCUUUGGUAAAUGAUGCAGUUCUACCACUCUACAUUUUGGGCUUUUAUUUUGAAGAGCUCCGCUCUUAUUCUACUACCUCCUGUUAUUACUGACGCUAAACCUUCUGUUCGAGUUCUCACCAUAAUGCUGUGCACGUUGCUCCAGAAACGACUGUCACUGAGAGGUGUGUGGAAGAUAGGCUGUUGGCAGACAAAGCUCAAACUUAGCGCCCUUGGAAGCAGAAGGAGGUAUGAAGAGACAAAUUGUGCAUUAAUUCAAAUGAGUGAUUUAUUUCAUUUAAGACAAAGAGAAAUGGUUAUUAUUAUUUUAUUUUCAGUAGGAACUGUAACUCAUAAUAACUUAAAAGGUUAAAUUCAUGUGGAAGUUUGCUAAGAAUUACUAAUUUAAAAGUUUAAAUACUGUUCUAUUCAUUAUCUGUGAAAUAUGGUACUAUGGCAUUUGUGUUUUGUAUCUGUUAUGUAGUUUUCACGGUGUCAAAACGUCUGUGGUGAGAAGAGGAGAGAAAUAAAGUUGCACCAGUAGAAGCUCCGA